CCGGCCCGCGUGCCCGCCCUCGCGCGCGCACGUUUCCUCCGCUCCGCGGUUGCCAUGGCUGCGAUUUCCGACUCGGUUCUUCUUCGGUCCUAAACGUGCCCUGGAACGUGGGGUUUUACUAGAAGAGCACGGGCGGUGCUGUUCGAGGAGACGUUGGAAUCCUAGAGGGAGGAAGGCGGGGAAGCCCCGUACCACCUGCGUGUGUCCCAGGACGGCGAGGGUCUCUCUGUGUCGUAAAAAUAAGACUUGAAGCCCCGAGGUGGGAACAGUCCAGCCCAACCUGAUAGAAAUAUAUUUAGGGACAGCUAAAAUAAUCAGAGUGACUUUUGCAUCCGUCUCGUUGAUGAACCUGGCCUGUGAAAGUGGAUCUAAGUGGGAGUCUAAAAAAGCUUCUCCCCAUCGUUGAGGAAUAAAACCUUUAAGUUUUUCCUUCUCCAGAUGCAAUCAACAAAUGCAAAUGGGAGACUUUCCCACACGCGAGGGCCUGCACAAGGCACAGCAUUCUAGACAUCUGACGCAUCAAAACUUUGAUUUUUUUAUUUUCAAGAUAACUUCAAAACCCCUUAAGUGCUUAAUUAAACAGAAUAGAACGUUCCAAGGCGUUAUCUGUGCAAACUAGGCAUGGAAACAAAGAGGAGAGUUGGAUUCCCUUGGUGAGGCCCAAUUACAGAACGAAAUUAAGGAAACCCAGUUCAUUAUUAAAAAAAUGCAUUUAUCUUGAAACGGGAAUAUUCAGGGAGGGAAAAAAAAUGUAAGGAACGGAGAAAAAGGAGUGAGAAACAUAAUGGAAGCUACUGUGGGUUCCUGGUGGUGGAGAGUUCUAAUCACCAGAGUAACCUAAACAUCAAGUCAUGAGAAGCUUUGAGUGAACUACAGUUUUUUACUGCCCAUGAGGAGGGAAUUCACCAGUUAUCUCCUUACAGUAUUCACCGUGAUUAAAGAAAUGGAAGGUGUACUACUGACUUCUGAAGCGGGAUGUCUGCAUAUUGAGUCACUAUGAGUCCAGGAGCUGACCCUUACUUGAGGCUGCUUGAUUAAUCAGAAUUCUCCUAUUCCUCUUCAAUGAAAAAUGGGAAGUACCGUCUAUCAAGUAGGCAUGGUUAUUCUAAAGCCCCCAUAGGAUCCAGAUGGGAAAAUAUACAAAGAGCAUAAACUUUGGGAUACAAAGAUCAGAAUCAGCAUGCCACAUCUGGGCUGUAUAAUCUGAAAGAAGCAAUGGAUAUGUUAUCUUGUGGGAGAGGAGUGUGUGCAAGGGAAAGGAAGCAGAAAUCUAUCCCAAUGUAAGGUGCCUCAUUUUUAGUAAGAACAUAGCUGCAACGUCAGCAUGCUGUACGAGGAAUUCGUGACACUACUUUCUAAAAGGUUACUAUUUGUGUUCUUUGCCAUUACCUAUAGAGGCCAAGGAAACGUAGUGUCCCCAUGAGUGCAAAAUAAGUGUUGUGAUUUGGAUACCAGUCAUAAGUCUCCUUCCUCUUGGCCAAAGGCUGCUCACUAAACAGUUUCACCACUUUCAUUGAUUUGGAGUCAGUAGGCCUGGCAAUUUCACCAAACAGCCGGGCACUCAGACGAGUCAUGCGCAAGGCAUAUUCUGAAAGGGAAGACAUUUUCUGAGCAGCAAGAGGCCCUACAGGAAAUGAGAAGAUAAACAGAUGCAUUGAAAGAACAGAGGCUGACCUCCAACUAAUCGCAGAAUGUCAAUCUCAAACCAUUUAACAAUCUGAACACCAACCAAAUGAGCCAAUAGUGCCAUCUGAAGGCCAGCAAUGGGAAAACUGUCGGAUCCAGGGUCUCUUCCCUGUCCCUCCAAACUGGAGAUCACCUGCAAGCCUUGCUUCCUCCUUUUCCUUUCAGCACUCCCAUUCUCAGAUUCACUUCCUUCUCAACUCUAGCUCCAUUGUGUGGGCAGGAGUGGGCUGGGCUGCCUCCUUAGGGGUAGGGUUAUAGUUUCAUCAAUGAGAAAAAAAGGGCAUUAACAGUUUAAUGUAUAAAUAGGAAAUAGUAACAAAUCAGUGCCUUGCAGAUUUGCCUUUAGAGGCUACAGUGUCUUUGCAUGCUUUACUUUUUCUCUCCCUUCAGUGAAAGUUAUCUUUUUUCAAACAUGAGAUUAAAAAAACAAAACUAAAAAUAAUGGUUUCUUAGUCAACUUUGCUUUGUUUUUGCUUAAUUGCUAUAAUGGCAUUUAAAUAGAUUUCUGUUUCAAGUGCACAGUUUUUCACAAUCAGUUAUUUGGUGGUCAGGAACUAUUGUUUUGUUGCA